rnacentral:rRNA from 1 species
CGGUUGAUCCUGCCGGAGGCCACUGCUAUUGGGGUUCGACUAAGCCAUGCGAGUCUAUGGGCUUUGCCCAUGGCGGACGGCUCAGUAACACGUGGUUAACCUACCCUCAGGUGGGGGAUAACCUCGGGAAACUGAGGAUAAUACCCCAUAGGGGAUGAUGUCUGGAACGAUUCAUCCCUGAAAGGACAUCCGCCUGAGGAUGGGACUGCGUCCGAUUAGGUAGUUGGUGGGGUAACGGCCCACCAAGCCUACGAUCGGUACGGGCCUUGAGAGAGGGAGCCCGGAGAUGGGGACUGAGACACGGCCCCAGGCCCUACGGGGCGCAGCAGGCGCGAAACCUCCACAAUGCACGAAAGUGCGAUGGGGGAACCCCAAGUGCCUAUGCACAGCAUAGGCUUUUCCCAAGUGUAAACAGCUUGGGGAAUAAGGGCUGGGCAAGUCCGGUGCCAGCAGCCGCGGUAACACCGGCGGCCCAAGUGGUGGCCACUCUUAUUGGGCCUAAAGCGUCCGUAGCCGGUCCAGUAAGUCCCUGUUUAAAUCCUGCGGCUUAACCGCAGGACUGGCAGGGAUACUGCUGGACUAGGGACCGGGAGAGGGUGAGGGUACUCCAGGGGUAGCGGUGAAAUGCGUUGAUCCCUGGAGGACCACCUAUGGCGAAGGCACUCACCUGGAACGGGUC